GAAGAAAGGCAUGCGCUGCUCCUGCUGCCUCUUUGGAACAAAACAUCAAAUAGUUGGUGGGCGCCGUGAAACAUGAACUUGCAGCAUUGCAUGGGUCAAUUUUUUUUUGCCCAGGUAGUGGUUUCUAACUUGCGGGGGUCAAUUGACCACCCUUGCUCCAUUGAAGAUCCACCACUGCAUGUUAUACCAUUCCAUCUAUUUUGUGCGAAAAUUUGUUAAGUUGGUGAUGUUAGGCCAAGUGGCGUGCUUAUUUGGAUGUUUAGCUGUGUGGAUCCAAGAAAAUAAAGUUACGUUUCCUCACUUUCCCCAAAUUCCCCCUAAUUUUCCCCCCAAUUCUCAUAGCAUUGCCCUAGUUCAAAGCUCUUAAAUUGACUCUCUUGGCUCUUUCUUGCAUCUCACUAUUUGUCAUCAUUUGCAUCAAAGAAGAGUGGGAGGAAGGAGAAGAGAGGCUGGUGCAACAUUGUCACUGUGACACUGUUGCUCGACUUCAAACUUCAUGGACGAAUCUAAACCCAAGAUGCAGAUUUAUAGUGUGCCCAAAGGGAAGGCGAAGAGGUGGAAGAGGAUGUGCGUUUUUUAUGUGUGUUGAUCCUGAAAUGUGUGAGCGUUUGAAGAUGGUGAUACCAGGUUUGCUGAAGAAGCUUGACAAAUUUGAAGCUGAAAAUGCCAAGAUUCGAAGGUAGUGUAGACUUUUGUGGGCUGUUGUGGUUAUUUCAUGAUUGAAGGUGUUUGCCAUGAAAAUGUAAUUGAGAUGAAGUUUGGUUGUA